rnacentral:rRNA from 1 species
UACGUAGGGGGCAAGCGUUAUCCGGAUUUACUGGGUGUAAAGGGAGCGUAGACGGUUAUGCAAGUCAGAAGUGAAAGCCCAAAGCUCAACUUCGGGACUGCUUUUGAAACUGUGUAACUAGAGUGCAGGAGGGGUAAGCGGAAUUCCUAGUGUAGCGGUGAAAUGCGUAGAUAUUAGGAGGAACACCGGCGGCGAAGGCGGCUUACUGGACUGUAACUGACGUUGAGGCUCGAAAGCGUGGGGAGUAAACAGG